CUCGUUUUUGUACAUGUAAAUUUUUGUGUUUGUUAAUUUUUCUAAAUGGUGGAUUAGGUUUUUGGAGAUCGCAGUAUUUAGUUUUAAUUUUUAGGUAAUUCUUGAUUUAGAAAUUGAUAUUAUGUUUUGGCUAAACUUGUGCCAGCAGCCGCGGUUACACAAGUAAUGCUACUAAAUUUUUUUGGCGUGUAGUUAGUUGAUUCUUUUCCAUUUAAAGUUGAUUUUUUAAGGUGAAAUUUUAAUUUUAAUGAUAUGUGGUUUGGAGGUAAAUUGAGGCUACGAAAUUUUUUUAUAAACUAGGAUUAGAUACCCUACUAUUUUUAACGUUAAUUUUAUACGCCCUAUUAGUAAUAGAUAUGUUCUUGAAAAUAAAAGAUUUUGGCGGUAUUUUAGUCUUUUCAGAGGAACCUGCCCUGUAAUUGAUAAUCCACGAUUAUUUCUACUUUUUUUAAUUAGUUUGUAUAUCGUCGUAGUUGAGUGUUUUAGAAGAAGAUUAAUGUUCAAUAAUUUUUAUAGGAGAAUAAAUCAGAUCAAGAUGCAGUUUAUAGAAAAGCUUGAGGUGGGUUACAUUGAUUUUAUUUUUGGUUUAAAUUUUUCAAAGGUUUAAUAAAAUGGAUUUGAAAGUAAUUAUGCAUAUAUAUACAUGAUGAUUUAGCUCUAGAAUAUGCACAUAUCGCCCGUCGCUUUCAUUUAAGGUGAAAUAAGUCGUAACAGAGUAGGCGUACUGGAAAGUGUGCCUAGUAUGAUUA
rnacentral:ncRNA from 1 species